rnacentral:lncRNA from 1 species
GAGGGUGUGCUAAAUUUUGUAAAUUCAGUCUCAUACCUAGUGAUCCUCAGCUUGUAUUAAUAAGGAAAGUAAAACACAAAUGAAAUCAUUGUUCUUGUAUUAUGCAGAAAUAUAUACAUUUUUCUUCACCUUCCCAUGCAAAUAACUUGAAUAAACAUUAUGAUAGAUACACAGACAAGGAAUUAUAUAUUUCACCAAAUAAUUUUUGCAUUUAUUACUAUAAUCACUGACAAUUUAGGGAACAUCAGUUGAAAUACUUGCAAAUACUCAGAUGUUUAGUAUCUCUAUGCUUUUUAAUUUUUUUUUCCAUUCAGUUUGGCACUGUAUAGAUAUUGUACAAGUCACAUUUAUAUAUUAAUAUUAAUCAAUAUAACCCUUUUUCCUUACCAUAGCAAUACUGAAUACAUUUUCAGUUUAUAAUGUUUAAUUAAAUAGUUAAACUUAUACCAGUUAGAACACAUGAAUGGUAUAAUAUACUUUGUAUACAACCAGAAAUAUGAAAAAAAAAUGUGCUCUAUAUGUGUAAUAUGAAUUGUAAUGCAUUCUGCUGUCAUAUGUAACAAAUUAGAAUAAAAAAUAAAAUAAAAAAAAUAAUAAUACAAAUAGCCGAAGAAAGCAAAAUGACCUGAGGACUGCAGUCAGUACCUUUAUAUGCAAAGUAAUUAGUUGAUUUAGGAAUGGGAAGAACUCAAGGCUCAAUGAGUAUUUAAUUAUGAGAAAAACAAGGGUCAUAUUGGUAAAAAGACCUGGCCUUGGAAAGCUACUGAAACCACCAUUUAUCUAAAUUAUAACUUUAUUCAAGUAUGCAGAAAAUAAAUUUUAGCAUUUUAUAUGCCUCACCUCUGUUCCAUUUCUGGCUGAAUACCAGAGCUAUAGAUAAAUGAGCAAACUAGGUUUGAAUGAUCUACUAAGAAACUUUUGGUCUCUGUAGAUUUGACAUUGGUUGAACCCAUUUAUGACAAACCAAGACAAAUAUCUCUGAUACAAAUAUAUUUCAAUGUGAAAAGCAAACAUCUUAAGAACUACAAUUUACCUUUCAAGAAUAUAUAUUUACAACCCAGUAAAAAUGGACACAAAUUAAAUAAAUAUAUUACUACAAGAAUGUUUUAAUAAUAGCUAUCUUUAAAUCUAAUCUAGCUCAACUGGCAAGUUUUGAAAGAAGCACAAUAUAGUAAGUCUCAUAUAAUGAAAAUGAAAUUUGGACUGUGAUUUUAUUUUAAGGAAAAAACUUCAUUUCCAAGAAAUGCAGUUAGGUUUCUGAUGCAGCUUAGUGGCAGGCCACAUGCUUAAAGUGUGGUAGGCCCUAGGUUCAAUCCCCAGUGCUCGCUCGCAUUCCCUCUCUCUCUCUCUCUCUCUCUCUCUCUCUCUCUCUCUCACACACACACACACACACACACACACACACACACACAGAAAGUAAACAAUAAUCUAGCAGCCCUGAGGGCUUGGAGGAAGGAUACAAGUGUUGAGUGGAGAAAGGGGGACAGGGAGAGGCGAUCAUCUACAGUUGUUUUUAUUAAUAGUCACCCCAGCAGCGCUUCUCUGCUGAUCUGACUGACCCGGAAAACUCCCCUGCCCGCCCUUGCUUCAGGGGUUGCUGACAUUUCAACUGUACAGUCAAGCAAUGAUCAGCCCCACGCAAUGCAGGGAGAGGUGAGGCCGGAAUCUAAAAUACUUGGUCCCAGCCGCCUCCCACACACUCAAGAAGUAAGGCAGUCUCCAGGCUCUGCAGGUUUGGUUCUCACUGUAGUACCCGGAACCCGGAUUCUCUAGGGUGGACAGUGGGGAGACAGCCUGCAGCCUCGGGAUAUACCAUCCUAUAGAAACAGAAACUGCAGGGGAGACACUGAAGUGUUUCUGGAGGAGCCACCUGGAGAGCCUGCCUCUUGGAGUGCUGGGUUCAGUUCUUGCCUCUCUACAACUUCCUAGCUGCGUCUCCUCAAGUUACAACACCGCUGUUCUGUGCCUCCGUUUUCCUCACCUGUAGAUUGGGGGUAUCAGUAGCUUCCGCCUCGUGGUUAUUGAAGAAUGCCUGUAGAGCGGGCACAGCAGAAUACGGCCCACAGUAAUUGCUGCUCACCUGUCAUACAUCGCUCUCACUUCCCCACCCCGCAGGACAAUGAGGUGAGACUUCACUUCCUGCUCACUGCGGUGGCAGAACACCUACAUCAGGCCGCAGGAGGGCCCGCCCUGGGUCGUGGAGCGGCCGGCUCUGCCCGGGUCGUGGCGCUUGCAGAGGUUAGGCGACAUCCUGGGAGCCACUGCCGCGCAGGUGGUUGAUCCGGCCGGCAGCGAGGUGUCCGGGACCUCUUCUCCAAACAGGGCAGGACGCCGGCCAACAGCGGAAAGAGCUAAGCAGAAAAUCAAGGCAGAGAAAGGGCGGACCUCAACCCAAGAUCGCGGGGGAAGGCGCCCAGGGCCCAGCGCAGGGCGCGCGGAGGCGGCCGCUGUGCAGCACUGCGCCCUCCGCCCCUCCCCGGCGGACCGGCCCCGGCGUCUGGGCUCUGCGCGCACCGCGGCCGCGGCCGCUCGGAGUCCCCAACACAGCCGCCGAGGACACGAUGCAGUGCCUGGGUGCCAAGUACCUGGUGAGUGCCUACAACUUUGGCUCUCGGAUUAGAACCCGGAGGGAGGAGUCGAGGCUGAUUCCUGCAGGCACCUGCUACCUGCCCAGCCGGGACACUGCUGCCCCCAGCCCUCGGGGAUAAGCCUCUGGUCAGGCACCUCCAUACCCCCGAGGGCACCUGGCCGGGAGGACUCUGGGCCCCCACUCGGGUGCUGGGGCAGAGAUGAGGGAGACUCUGGCCGCGGGGCGGGACAGGGGGGCUGCGGUCAGGUGCACCUCCAGGUAAGAACUUGGCGGCUAGAGAUUUAACAUCCGCUCUGUGAGGUUGGGUGUCUACCUGGUUGUUUAUUCUUUUUCUCACCUCUCCUUUUUUUUUUUCUGGAAGGUUUCUGAAGAGAGAGCUCCCAGGCCAAGAGAGUGGCGAC